rnacentral:rRNA from 1 species
AUUGAACUGAAGAGUUUGAUCCUGGCUCAGAUUGAACGCUGGCGGCAUGCCUUACACAUGCAAGUCGAACGGCAGCACGGGCUUCGGCCUGGUGGCGAGUGGCGAACGGGUGAGUAAUACAUCGGAACAUGUCCUGUAGUGGGGGAUAGCCCGGCGAAAGCCGGAUUAAUACCGCAUACGAUCUGAGGAUGAAAGCGGGGGACCUUCGGGCCUCGCGCUAUAGGGUUGGCCGAUGGCUGAUUAGCUAGUUGGUGGGGUAAAGGCCUACCAAGGCGACGAUCAGUAGCUGGUCUGAGAGGACGACCAGCCACACUGGGACUGAGACACGGCCCAGACUCCUACGGGAGGCAGCAGUGGGGAAUUUUGGACAAUGGGCGCAAGCCUGAUCCAGCAAUGCCGCGUGUGUGA